rnacentral:rRNA from 1 species
UGUUAUUGCAAUGUCAUAAGAUAGCUUGAGUGCGAGUGUGACGGCUCGAGCAUGUGCGAAAUGAGGUCAUAGUGAUCCGGUGGUUCUGUAUGGUAGGGCCAUCGCUCAACUUAUAAUAGUUACUCCGGGGAUUACAGGCUGAUACGGCCCAAGAGUUCAUAUCGACUGCGGUGUUUGGCACCUCGAUUUCGGCUAAUCAAAUCCUGGGGCUUAAGUUGGUCCCAAGGGUAUGGC